GCUACUACCGAUUGAAUGGCUUAGUGAGCUUCAGGGAUUGUUGUAGUUGAUUGGUUCGCCUUUCUUCUACAUCCGAGAACUGAAUCAAACUUGAUCAUUUAGAGGAAGUAAAAGUCGUAACAAGGUUUCC
rnacentral:rRNA from 1 species